rnacentral:rRNA from 1 species
GACGAACGCUGGCGGCGCGCUUAACACAUGCAAGUCGAGCGAAGCGGCGGACGGGUGAGUAACACGUGAGUAACCUGCCUUAGACAUUGGGAUAGCCUCGGGAAACCGGGAUUAAUACCAAAUGGUCUAAGAUGGACUCGCGUCCCAUUGGCUAGUUGGUGGGGUAGUGGCCUACCAAGGCGACGACGGGUAGCCGGCCUGAGAGGGCGACCGGCCACAUUGGGACUGAGAUACGGACCAAGCGCUACGUGAUGCAGCAGUGGGGAAUAUUGCACAAUGGGGGAAACCCUGAUGCAGCAACGCCGCGUGCGGGAUGACGGCCUUCGGGUUGUAAACCGCUUUCAGCCAUGACGCGGUAGUGGCAGAAGAAGCACCGGCUAACUACGUGCCAGCAGCCGCGGUAAUUC